UAAAUGGAUUAUGAAUCUGAUUAUUGGCUUUAAAAAAAACAGUAACUUCCUUAUAGUUCUCUCCGCCCCAUUGAUGGGGCUUUGGGGCAUACAUUAUUAAAUUAAACCCCAGAGGAUAUGACAAUGUUUAUAUGAUCAAGGAAAAGAAUAAAUACAACAUAUAUCUGUUCCCUUCACUGACCCAAAGAAAAAAAAAAAUCAAUGUUUAACCUCUGUCCAAAACACCUGCAGGCUAUUG
rnacentral:misc_RNA from 1 species